AAAAAUUAUAUUUAUAUAUAAAAUAAAAAAUAAAUUAUUAAUAUAAUUAUAGUUAUUUUAUUUUUAUACCUUUUGUAUAAGGAUAUUUAAAAAAUAAAAUUAUAUUAUUUAAUCUCGAUAUAUAAUGAAAUAAAAAUAGUUAAUUAAUUUAUAGAAUAAAAAUUUUUUAUUAAUGUUAUAUUUAGGAAUAUAAAAUAUCUAGUUAAAAAUUAAAAAAUUUAGGUAAAUCUUAAGUUAUAACUAUUUAUUAUUUUUUUUAAAAAAAAUUUUAUAAUAAUUAAAGUUUUAUUACAAAAAAAAAUUUUUUUUAUAGAGUUUAACUUUUUUAUACAGUUUAAUUUUUUUAUAAUUAAUUAAUUAGUAGAAAAAUAUGUUUAUGAAAAUUUUUUUUUUAAAAAAUUUAAUAAAAAAUUUAUUUUAAUUUUAAAAUUUAUUUAUAAAAUUUUAUCAAAAUAUUAGUUUAUAAAAAUUAUAAAUUUAUUCUGCUCAAUGAUAUCUUUAAAUAGCCGAAAAUUUUCGCUAAGGUAGCAUAAUCAUUUGUUUAUUAAUUGUAAACUUGUAUAAAAGAAUUAAUAUAAGUAAUUUAAAUAAAAUAAAUUAAAUUGAAAUUUUAAUUUUAAUGAAAAUACUAAUAUUUUUUAUUAGACGGAAAGACCCUUUAAUCUUUUCUUUAUAUAAGUUUUUUGGGAUAAAAAAAAAAAAAAAUUUUUUUUUAUUUUUUGUAAAGAACUUUAUAUAAGAUUAAAUAAAUAGAUACUUUAGGGAUAACAGGAUAAAUUUUUAUUAAAGAACAAAUUUAUAAAAAUUUUAUUACCUCGAUGUUGGUUUUAAUAACUAAAAAUUGAAAAAAAUUUUCUAGUUAGUCUGUUCGACUAUUAAAAUUUAACUUGAACUGAGUUCAAAUCGGUGAAAACCAGAUUGGUUCUAAUCUAUAAAUUAAAUCAAAUUUUUAAGUACGAAAGGAAAAUAAAUUUUAUAUUAU
rnacentral:rRNA from 1 species